GAGUGGUGAAAUGUGAUGUGAUGCUGGCUUUGAAGACGGACUCACGAGUUAAGGGAUGCAGGCAGCCUCUGGAAGCCAGGCAAGGAAGGAAACAUUCCCCCCUCGAGGCCCGCGGAAGAGAAUCAGCCCUGCAGACACCUUGGUCCUGGCCAACUGAGUCCCGUGUGGCGAAUUUCAGACCUGUACUUGGUCUGCAAACUUGGUUUUAAUUGCCUUCAUCUAAACUUUUAUCACUUUGGGGGCCGGCCCAGUGGCGCAGCAGUUAAGUUCGCAUGUUCUGCUUUGGCAGCCCAGGGUUUGCCGGUUCGGAUCCCCGGUGCAGACAUGGCACCACUUGCCAAGCCAUGCUGGGAAUUCUCUAGGUCUCAAAGUCUUAACCUUGAUAAUGAAAUUGUUGCUUUCACAUGGGAAUUUCCUCUCCUGCUUUUAAGAAAAAGAGGAAGGUUUGGACAAAUGUGUGACAUGUAUCCGUCAUUAAGGUAUCAUACAGAGUAUUCUCACUGCCCUAAAAAUCCUCCAUGCUGCACCAAUUCAUCUCCUGCUCAAAGAUGAAGAAAUUAAGGUGCAGCAAUUUGCCCAAGGAAGCACAGCCAGCAAGGAGUGAGACCCAAGAUGCAAACCUGACCAUCCGCCCACAGUGUUUAGGGUUUGUCUCAUGAAAUUCUGCCUUGUAAUAGCCUAACCCGCCUCACUAUAUGCUGAAAACUACAAAAGGCAUGGACCUACACGUUGAGAAGCCUUGGAUUUUUUAUUGCCAGCGAGAUUAGUUGAGCAGAGUAAGGCGAAACCUCCUAUUAGCUGACAGACCACUGUGGCCUGGGCCACUACAGGCUGAAAGUCAUUUCCAGGACUAUGCUCCUUCUUUCUGAUUUUUUCCUCUGGAACUCCUUCCAUUUUCUACUGUUUCCAAAACUCGAUAGCUGCUGGAAAACCUCCCACUUUAUAUGUGAUUAUAGUUUAAUAAAAUCAAAGUGGAGAGUAUGCAGCUCACAUUUAUGCUUUUUCAAUUACUAGCUUAGGAUAAAACCGACAAUUUAAAGUAAGUGGAGGAUAACGUAUUAGAAGUUUCAGUCUCUCUAACGCUUUGCAAAUGAAGUUUAGAUGUGAUUUUACAAGUAUAAAACCAGCAAUUGUAUUUCAAGUUGAGUGAAAUUAUUUAUCUGACUUCAUGCAUAAAAUGCAUAAGGAACUCCCUGUCACUCAUUAGGAUGCUAGCCUAUUCUUAUUUUCAAUUUGUUCUUACAUGUUUAAAAAGAGACCAAGAAAACCAGUAAUGAAUUUGAAAUAACAAACUAAUUUUAAAUUAUGGUAAAUAGUGGGAUUAGUGUUCUCAUUUUCCAUUAUUUCUCCCAGUGUGCCUACUUGUCCUAGAGAGACUAUAAAAUUAAAAUUUACAUAUCUCAAAGUUCUUAUUGGCAAACUGCUUUCCAUCUAAUGAGAUGCACUUCCAUGAGAUUUUGAUGGUGGACCAGCCUUCGGCUUAGUUAUUUUCUGCCAACAAACACAGUUGUGGAGACCUUGUGGAAACCUAGAAUCUUACUGAGGAACAUUCCAGAGGCUAGAUCCUAGCAGGGAAAGAGGGGCAAGAGCAAUCCCAAUGCCGGCCCUGCAAGUCUCUUUAGUCUCCUCCCCUACAGCAGAGUCAGAAGCAGCAGCUUCACCAGCAGGUCACUGUCCUGGCAUCUUGGAGUCAUUCUUGGAGAUCCACCUACAGCCACCUCCCUAUUCAGCAAUUAAUUCCCAAGAGGAAAUCAUCCUCUGUUUAACACAUCGAGACACUUUUUCUGCAACAAAGUCCUGAAGAUAUCAAAUGAUAAACAAUGGCCCAAUGUUUAUGCUAGCACAGAAAAAACAACUUUUCAUCAUAGAAAUAUGUAAAAUAUAUAAAAUAUGUUAUACACUGUUCAUUUUGUUUUCUACCUCAUAUCUCUAAGCCAUGAAACAUUAUUUAUAGAUGAGUCUAUUAAUUGCAUUAAAUUUUAAAAAUACUUUAGAAGCAAUAUUUUCAAAAUAAAAUUCUAUUCAAAAUUAAUUACUGCAGCUACUUGAACAAUCUAACUACAUACUUACUUAAAUGCUUGGCUUUAUUAACUACUUCAAUUUCUUCUAACAAAUAGAUGUAUAAUCUUCAACUUGAAUUUCCUUUCAAGUCUCAUUCAACCUCAAUAGACAAAUAUUCACAUUAUAUUGAUAUUUGUCAAAUGAUAGAUGAAUUUGAAUCACAGCAAAAACAUUUAUGUGUCUUAGGAAAGCACCAAGAAUAAACAAGACACUGUUAAUAUCUAUGUUCAACAGAAAGUUGGCAUACUAAGAUAGUAUAAUAUAUUAUUGUUAGCAUUUAAAAUUUAUCCCUGCUAUUGUGUAAUUUACUCGUAUCCUAAAUGACUGGAUAUUGGAAUACCAUUAAUAAACAUAAAUCAGUGUGUAUAGAAGUCUAUUCUUCUGGAACAUACUUAGAAUGUUUAUUAAGAAUCGUAUGGUGUUUCCCUAAAAUGUCCAGUCAUGAAUAUCUCAUGGGAUUCGCCUUCUGAACUCUAAGAAUAUAGGUUCCUUGUCUGGCAUUUUGUGGGCC
rnacentral:lncRNA from 1 species